rnacentral:rRNA from 1 species
UACGGAGGGUGCAAGCGUUAAUCGGAAUUACUGGGCGUAAAGGGCACGCAGGCGGACUUUUAAGUGAGAUGUGAAAUCCCCGGGCUUAACCUGGGAAUUGCAUUUCAGACUGGGAGUCUAGAGUACUUUAGGGAGGGGUAGAAUUCCACGUGUAGCGGUGAAAUGCGUAGAGAUGUGGAGGAAUACCGAUGGCGAAGGCAGCCCCCUGGACAGCGACUGACGCUCAGGUGCGAAAGCGUGGGGAGCAAACAGG